rnacentral:rRNA from 1 species
GCCCUUAGAGUUUGAUCCUGGCUCAGAACGAACGCUGGCGGCAGGCUUAACACAUGCAAGUCGUACGAAGCCUUCGGGCUUAGUGGCGGACGGGUGAGUAACGCGUGGGAACGUGCCCCUUGGUACGGAAUAGUCCCUGGAAACGGGGUUUAAUACCGUAUGACCUCUGAGGAGGAAAGAUUUAUCGCCGAGGGAUCGGCCCGCGUUGGAUUAGGUAGUUGGUGGGGUAAUGGCCUACCAAGCCGACGAUCCAUAGCUGGUUUGAGAGGAUGAUCAGCCACACUGGGACUGAGACACGGCCCAGACUCCUACGGGAGGCAGCAGUGGGGAAUCUUAGACAAUGGGGGAAACCCUGAUCUAGCCAUGCCGCGUGAUCGAUGAAGGCCUUAGGGUUGUAAAGAUCUUUCGCUGGGGAAGAUAAUGACGGUACCCAGUAAAGAAGCCCCGGCUAACUCCGUGCCAGCAGCCGCGGUAAUACGGAGGGGGCUAGCGUUGUUCGGAAUUACUGGGCGUAAAGCGCGCGUAGGCGGGCUGGAAAGUGGGGGUGAAAUCCCGGG